CUUAUACAUGCAAGUCGAACGAAGUAGCAAUACUUAGUGGCAGACGGGUGAGUAACAUGUAGGUAUCUUCCCUUUGGUGAGGAAUAACACGAGGAAACUUGUGCUAAUACCUCAUAAGUCUUUACAGAGAAAGCUUUAUGCGCCGAAGGAUGAGCCUGCACUUGAUUAGUUUGUUGGUGGGGUAAUGGCCUACCAAGACUUUGAUCUAUAGCUGAUCUGAGAGGAUGAUCAGCCACAUUGGGACUGAGACACGGCCCAAACUCCUACGGGAGGCAGCAGUAGGGAAUAUUGCACAAUGGAGGAAACUCUGAUGCAGCGAUGCCGCGUGAGUGAAGAAGGCCUUUGGGUUGUAAAGCUCUUUCGUCGGGGAAGAAAAUGACUGUACCCGAAUAAGAAGGUCCGGCUAACUUCGUGCCAGCAGCCGCGGUAAUACGAAGGGACCUAGCGUAGUUCGGAAUUACUGGGCUUAAAGAGUUCGUAGGUGGUUAAAAAAGUUGGUGGUGAAAUCCCAGAGCUUAACUCUGGAACUGCCAUCAAAACUUUUUAGCUAGAGUAUGAUAGAGGAAAGCAGAAUUUCUAGUGUAGAGGUGAAAUUCGUAGAUAUUAGAAAGAAUACCAAUUGCGAAGGCAGCUUUCUGGAUCAUUACUGACGCUGAGGAACGAAAGCAUGGGUAGCGAAGAGGAUUAGAUACCCUGGUAGUCCACGCCGUAAACGAUGAGUGCUAGACGUUGGAAAUUAACUUUUCAGUGUCGUAGUUAACGCAUUAAGCACUCCGCCUGGGGAGUACGGUCGCAAGAUUAAAACUCAAAGGAAUUGACGGGGGCCCGCACAAGCGGUGGAGCAUGUGUUUAAUUCGACGCAACGCGAAGAACCUUACCAGCUCUUGACAUUGCUAAGUCGCGAGUUUUAGAGAUAAAACUCUUCAGUUCGGCUGACUUAGUACAGUGCUGCAUGCUGUCGUCAGCUCGGUGUCGUGAGAUGUGGGUAGUCCCGCACGAGCGCACCCUUGUCUAGUGCAGCAAUUCGUGCACUCUAGGAGACUGCGUGAUACGAAGAAGCGGAUGACGUCAGUCUCAUGCUACGCUGCUACCACGUGCUACAUGGCGUCUACAUGGUCA
rnacentral:rRNA from 1 species